AUUGAACGCUGGCGGCAGGCCUAACACAUGCAAGUCGAGCGGAUGACGGGAGCUUGCUCCUUGAUUCAGCGGCGGACGGGUGAGUAAUGCCUAGGAAUCUGCCUGGUAGUGGGGGACAACGUUUCGAAAGGAACGCUAAUACCGCAUACGUCCUACGGGAGAAAGCAGGGGACCUUCGGGCCUUGCGCUAUCAGAUGAGCCUAGGUCGGAUUAGCUAGUUGGUGAGGUAAUGGCUCACCAAGGCGACGAUCCGUAACUGGUCUGAGAGGAUGAUCAGUCACACUGGAACUGAGACACGGUCCAGACUCCUACGGGAGGCAGCAGUGGGGAAUCUUCCGCAAUGGGCGAAAGCCUGAUCCAGCCAUGCCGCGUGUGUGAAGAAGGUCUUCGGAUUGUAAAGCACUUUAAGUUGGGAGGAAGGGUAUUCACCUAAUACGUGGGUACUUUGACGUUACCGACAGAAUAAGCACCGGCUAACUCUGUGCCAGCCGCCGCCGUAAAAC
rnacentral:rRNA from 1 species